GAUGAACGCUGGCGGCGUGCCUAAUACAUGCAAGUCGAGCGAACAGACGAGGAGCUUGCUCCUCUAACGUUAGCGGCGGACGGGUGAGUAACACGUGGAUAACCUACCUAUAAGACUGGGAUAACUUCGGGAAACCGGAGCUAAUACCGGAUAAUAUAUUGAACCGCAUGGUUCAAUAGUGAAAGACGGUUUUGCUGUCACUUAUAGAUGGAUCCGCGCCGCAUUAGCUAGUUGGUAAGGUAACGGCUUACCAAGGCAACGAUGCGUAGCCGACCUGAGAGGGUGAUCGGCCACACUGGAACUGAGACACGGUCCAGACGCCUACGGGAGGCAGCAGUAGGGAAUCUUCCGCAAUGGGCGAAAGCCUGACGGAGCAACGCCGCGUGAGUGAUGAAGGUCUUCGGAUCGUAAAACUCGGUUAUUAGGGAAGAACAAAUGUGUAAGUAACUAUGCACGUCUUGACGGUACCUAAUCAGAAAGCCACGGCUAACUACGUG
rnacentral:rRNA from 1 species